AAACGUAAAUAACAGAGUAUGUUAGGUCAUAUCAUCCUUAAUUCCAUUACAACUACACUAGUGUACUAAGAGGAUAACAUAUAUCUAUAAACAUGACAAACUUUUUGAACAGUUGUAUCUUAUUUUUCACUAGUGUUGCCGUGUGUUCAGUCAAUGUACAUGGAUACAACUUACCAUAUUCAUCCUAUUAUCCCGUACAACAAGAUUAUUCUUCAGGAGGAGUAUUUGAUGUGUUCGGACAACUAGGCGGAUUAUUCCUGAUAUACGUUUUGCUGCUAUCAGUUCUGAAGAAUUUUGGAAAUAGAACAACCAAAUAAAUACAGCUGGCAGGUAUUGUACCAGCAGAUUUGAAACACCAAAGAAACUUCGCUCACCACGUCUUUCAGAAUGUUUGUUGAAUAUUUAAAAUAAAUGUUAUUUAAGUAUGAA